rnacentral:rRNA from 1 species
UACGGAGGGUGCGAGCGUUAUCCGGAAUUACUGGGUUUAAAGGGUGCGUAGGCGGCUUAGUAAGUCAGGAGUGAAAGUUUGCGGCUCAACCGUAAAAUUGCUUUUGAUACUGCUAGGCUGGAAUUAGGAUGAGGUCAGCGGAAUGUGGCAUGUAGCGGUGAAAUGCAUAGAUAUGCCAUAGAACACCAAUUGCGAAGGCAGCUGGCUAGACCUGGAUUGACGCUGAGGCACGAAAGCGUGGGGAGCGAACAGG